AGAGUUUGAUCCUGGCUCAGGAUGAACGCUGGCGGUAUGCUUAACACAUGCAAGUCGAACGGGGUGCUUCGGCACCUAGUGGCGGACGGGUGAGUAACGCGUGAGAAUCUGCCGAAAGGAUUGGGACAACAGCUGGAAACGGCUGCUAAUACCAGAUAUGCCAAUAAGUGAAAAGGGUAAAACCGCCUUUUGAUGAGCUCGCGUCUGAUUAGCUAGUUGGUGGGGUAAAAGCCUACCAAGGCAUCGAUCAGUAACUGGUCUGAGAGGAUGACCAGUCACACUGGGACUGAGACACGGCCCAGACUCCUACGGGAGGCAGCAGUGGGGAAUUUUCCGCAAUGGGCGAAAGCCUGACGGAGCAAUACCGCGUGAGGGAGGAAGGCUCUUGGGUUGUAAACCUCUUUUCUCAGGGAAGAACAAAAUGACGGUACCUGAGGAAUAAGCAUCGGCUAACUCCGUGCCAGCAGCCGCGGUAAUACGGAGGAUGCAAGCGUUAUCCGGAAUGAUUGGGCGUAAAGCGUCCGCAGGUGGCUUUGCAAGUCUGCUGUCAAAGCUCAGGGCUUAACCCUGAAUCGGCGGUGGAAACUGAAAGGCUAGAGUGCGGUAGGGGCAGAGGGAAUUCCCAGUGUAGCGGUGAAAUGCGUAGAGAUUGGGAAGAACACCAGUGGCGAAAGGCUCUGCUAGACCGCAACUGACACUCAUGGACGAAAGCUAGGGGAGCGAAUGGGAUUAGAUACCCUAGUAGUCC
rnacentral:rRNA from 1 species